CUGCCUUUACUCAGCCAAAAUUUUAAGGCUUUUUCUUCUUGUUUUGUUACUUCCCUUGUAUAUGCUGUCGGUCUCUGUGAUGAAGUUUCCUGUGGGUCUUGGUGUGGUGUUGUCACUGUCGCCGCCCGCCCCACCCCACCCCCACGCGGGGCACGGGCUCAGGCGACGGCGAGGUUUUCGUUAGCACCUACCAUGUGCCACUUCACGAAGCAUUCAGCUCGGAUUAUCCUGUUUCAUCCUCACGAGAAUCUCCAGAAAUAGCAGUGAGACCCCGGGCAAGCUACUUACUUCCUCGGAGUCCCAGUUCCCAUCUGUGAAAUGUGUCUUGUCAGCUGGGCUGUUGUGAAGACGUGUGUACUCUGACUCGCAUGUUGAGUUCAGUGGCUGACUCAAAUGAGGGCUCUGUCAACGUCAGCCAUUCAUAACAACAAUAAAUAUUAUGAUGAUUCCUUCCGGAAAUACCUGUGGAGCACCUGUGAUGGCCAGGCCCUGUGCAGGGUGCUCUUGGACUAUGAAGUAGUACCUGCUUGCUGUGACAAAUUCCAGCAAUAUAUAAAGAAUGGCGUCAAAGUGAAGUGCCAUUUCCCCCACCGCCAAAACUCUCUCUCAUCGAAUGUCACCAUUUUUUCCUAUGCACCAAAACAUGUUUCCACUUUUCAUAAAGAUGAGAUUGUUUAACGCUUUUCUGUGGCUUGAUUUUCUCCCCAUAUCACAGUCAUAUAGAAGCAUGACUUAGGGUCAGGGUCAAGCCACAGGUUUUGGAGCCAGAUCACUGGGGUUCAAAUCCCAGCUCUGCCAACCAGCUGUGUGGUCUUAGAUGAAUGACUCACACCAUUAUGUCUCGGUUCCCUUGUCUGUGAAAUAGCACAAAUUACGGUAUCUUCCUCAGUGGGCUUCUGGAAGGAUUAAAUGGACAUAAAGCAUGGAGAACAGUGCCUGGUACAUACAUUGUCUUCCUGCAUCAGGACGGAUCUGCCUCAUCAACAGCUUCCAAGUACAAGAUGGAUCGAAAUUAUUCAACUAUCCGUUGGGGAUGGAUAUUUAAGGUGUUCCCACCUCCUUCGUAAUUCUAAACUAUAAUUAUCUGUAAAGUGUCUUUAAACAGCGAGAGAGGGAACACAAGCAGGGGGAGUGGGAGAGGGAGAAGCAGAUUCCCCACUGAG